rnacentral:rRNA from 1 species
GGGGCGCCGAGAGCGGCGAACGGCGGAGUAACACGUGGGUAACCAGCCCCGAAGACUGGGAUAACCCGGGGAAACUCGGGCUAAUACCGGAUGUGGAUGCCUUGGCUUCGGCGAAGGCAUCUAAAGGUGCAAGCCGCUUCGGGAUGGGCCCGCGGCCUAUCAGGUUGUUGGUGAGGUAACGGCUCACCAAGCCGACGACGGGUAGCCGGUCUGAGAGGACGAUCGGCCCGAGGGGCACUGAGACACGGGCCCCACUCCUACGGGAGGCAGCAGUCGGGAAUUUUGGGCAAUGGGCGCAAGCCUGACCCAGCGACGCCGCGUGGAGGACGAAGCCCUUCGGGGUGUAAACUCCUUUUAGUGGGGACGAACGCAGACGGUACCCACAGAAAAAGCCCCGGCUAACUACGUGCCAGCAGCCGCGGUAAUACGUAGGGGGCGAGCGUUGCCCGAAUUUACUGGGCGUAAAGCGCACGUAGGCGGCUCCGUAAGUCUGGUGUGAAAUCUCACGGCUCAACCGCGAGGCUGCACCAGAUACUGCGGGGCUCGAGGACGGGAGAGGAGAUUGGAAUUCCCGGUGUAGCGGUGAAAUGCAUUGAUAUCGGGAGGAACACCAGUGG